ACGAACGCUGGCGGCGUGCUUAACCCCUGCAAGUCGAACGGAAAGGCCCUGCUUGCAGGGUACUCGAGUGGCGAACGGGUGAGUAACACGUGGGUGAUCUGCCCUGCACUUCGGGAUAAGCCUGGGAAACUGGGUCUAAUACCGGAUAGGAGCCAUUUUUAGUGUGAUGGUUGGAAAGUUUUUUCGGUGUAGGAUGAGCUCGCGGCCUAUCAGCUUGUUGGUGGGGUAAUGGCCUACCAAGGCGGCGACGGGUAGCCGGCCUGAGAGGGUGGACGGCCACAUUGGGACUGAGAUACGGCCCAGACUCCUACGGGAGGCAGCAGUGGGGAAUAUUGCACAAUGGGCGCAAGCCUGAUGCAGCGACGCCGCGUGGGGGAUGACGGCCUUCGGGUUGUAAACUCCUUUCGCUAGGGACGAAGCUUUUUGUGACGGUACCUAGAUAAGAAGCACCGGCUAACUACGUG
rnacentral:rRNA from 1 species